GCUGGCUUGAUAAGUCUUCAGCUCACAGCCCAGCCCCAGCCACGGGAUCCUGAGCCCCAACUCGUUUACAGUCCCUGCAUGGGCAUCUUCCCCACAGCUGCAACUGUCCCUCUGCCGGCCCUGCUGCUGCCUUCUGGAAUGUGGGCCCCAGGAAAGGAAGUCUGUCCCCGGGCACCUGCAGAAGCAGCUCUUCCUCUGGGCUGCUGUGGGCUGCUGGGCUCCAGGGUCCUGCCCCAGCACUCAGGCCACCUCCUCUCAGUGACUUAAGAGUUUGAACUGGAUCUGAAGACCAACUACACUGUAAAGCAUUCAAAAGAAGAUGACAUUAAAGAGAAGACUCCCAAGAGCAUAGAAUUACACUACUAAGGAGAGCGAUGGAAACGAACCAGAGAGAAGGGAAAAUGUGAUGGAACAGCCUCCGCAGCUGCUAAGGACGCUGAGCUGGUAAAGUCAUAUGGAAAGGCAAGCACGCGAUCGGCGUGAAUGUCAGCAGAGUGGUUAGCUCUGGGGGAGGGAAGGCCAGCCGUGGGAGGGAGUUGAGGCCAGCGGUGGUUCUGGAUAGACCAAAAUGUGUUAUUUCUGGAGCCGGGUGGUGACUUCUUGGGGCUUCGCUUUGUGAUAAGUCAUUGAGCUGUGUGCUUGUUUUGUACCCUUUUCCAUAUAUGUAUUAUAUUUCACAAUAGGACAGGCUUAAAAAAAGAGGCAGAAACGCUCAGGAAAUGAAGUGCGUCACUCCGCAGAGGAAGGACCUGCCCUUGGAGUGCCACCAGCUGGAGCGGGCAGCGCCUGUGGAUCCAGGGCAUCUUCUGCCUUCUCUCUUUACCCACCGGCCUGUCUUCCAGGUUCACCAACAAACUGGUGUUGGUGGCGCUUAGUGGUGGGUCCGCGUUCCCAGUGCCGGCACGAGCAGGUGAUGCAGCGUCCUCCCCCGGGUGCCCGACUCCACUGCAUAACCAGGCAGUCACGCCAGGCAGGGGCCGGAAUGGCCUCUCCACUGUCCUUCCCCAUCGAAGCCACUCUGGCUGAGAGCUCAGAAAAAUGAGGAGGCCUCACGCCCAGCCCUACGAGCCAGCCUUAGGAGGCAGCACUCAGCUGCCCAGCCAUGAGGCGUUUCAGCCCACACCUGGGCCAGCUGGUGCAAGGAUGGACUCAAGUGGAUCUCCCCUCAACCACUUCCCUGGGCCCCACCUCUGAGCCCAUUGAGUGAGGAUGAUUAAUCCUGCCUCCCGAGGAUGGUUGCCUGGUUUCAGUGCACUGACACGUGAACAGCACGAGGCACUGCCCUGACAUGGGAAGGCCCGAUCACACGGCUUCCUUGCUUGGGACUGCCUUCCCUCCUUGAUCCCUCCCAGAUGCAUCCAAUGCCAGCCACCGUGCUGCCUUCUGGCUUUCAUUCUUCAGUUACCUCUCUCCUGUCUCAGGGUACCCUGCUGACCUCCCCUGAGCCCAGGUGGGAUAAUGAACCCUUCCCUGGCCCUCAUGGCCCCCAGUUUUCCCCAGCAGUGGUACUUGACACUCCCCUGUCCUCCCUCUGGGCAGGAGGCCUGGAGCACAGGGACUUGUCUUAUUCAGCUCUGGAUCCCAGGUGCUCCAGCACCUGCCCAGGGCCUGGACACAGGCGAGUGAGCCAUGCUCCUCAAGAAAUCCCAGAGGCCCAGAAGUACCAGCAGUUUGGGGGCAGCCACCAGCUGUCCAGAGCAGUCAGUCCCAACCCUCAGUUGGAUGUCUUUGGUUCUGCUGAUUAAUGUGGAUACAGCUCACUUUAAACCAUAGCAAUGUUGCUGAGGGCAAAUCGAAUGUACUAGUUUAAAUGCACCGAAGGGAUUCGCCAUCUAAAGAAAGCCUGUGAUGAGUUAGUACUUCCCAAGAGUAAAAGAUGCUUGUGUAAUGCAGCAAAGCCCAGCGACUUUUCCCCUCCUGCAUAAAUUCAGAUUCUGGACAUUGGGAGAGCCAGGGUUCUCCAGAAAUAGACUUUGGGAUGGCAAUUAGAAGGCAGGACAUUUAAUAGGGGGUGCUUUUGAGAUGCACUGGCAGGAAUCAGGGAAGGGGAGGAAACAGGAUGGGUGGAGGGAGGAGUUGGGCUAUGAGGCAGUCUCCCUGGAGGGUUCCGUGGUCCCCACUGGGACCUGCAAGCUGGAACCACACUUCAGAGUUGCUCCCUUAUGGGGUGAGGGAGCUAGACCUUUAUAUCCCAUGCUAGUCAAUCUUUGGGCCACCUCGGAAGGGGCCUGACCUUGAACGAGGCAGUCCUUGUAGGGACAGCCCAGGGCUCACUGCGGCACCCCCAACCCAGCAGCUGGGGGAAUAAGUCCUUCAUCCGUGAAGGGGAAUCUGGGUGCAAAUUUUCACAGGGAAAAAGAGGGGAACUGCCAUUGCUUGAGGGCCUACUAUGCACUCAGCCCU